UAUUCUAAUAUGAUGAACGGGCGUAGUUAUCAUUCAACCAACGGGACGUACCGUCGGAACCAAUCAUAGUUUAUGCGUAAUACUUGAGCGUUACCCACGUCAAUGGAGUCGAAUUUGGGGUUAGAAUCCAUAGAUAAACAACUUCGAAGAUGAUGGGAGGGACGAGAGAACAAUUCUCUUGGAUCGGAUAUAUGGGUUGAAAUAGGGUAGAGUGAUCUUGCAAGGAUAGAAGGAUAUUACAGCUUGGACAGGAUCUUUAUAGAAGGAACAUAAGACUAUGCCAGAGAACACAUUACUGAAUUUUCAAUUUCUACAAGGAUAUUACAGCUUGGACAUGAUCUGCAAGGUGUGGUUGUUCAAUUUCUGAUUGUUUGUUUUUAGAUUUUUGCUAAUGACAAAUGAAACUUAUUUUACCUUCUUGCUACAAAAUUUGGGGAGUACCCUUAUCGAGUUAUGUAAUUUCAUGAACAUACCUAUAGAUGAACAAAAAAAGAACAUGUAAUUUAUGUGAUCUCAUCAUCAGUUGUCUCAGUACUUUGGCAAGGAUGCCUUGCAUUUGAUUUAAUUGAUCAGGUGGUUAACUUCUCUCUUCUUUUGAAUUUUUCACCAAAUAUCCUUUAUUUAUUUAUUUAUUUAUUUUUGCCCAAUUUAUUUAUUGUUCUUUUAACUUUUUAGAUGUUGAAGUUGAAGGAUUGAAUGAACUGAAAGCUAGUAAGAUGAAAAUACUUGUUCUAAAGAAGCAAAAUGAGUUUGAUUAAAUUGACAGAAAUGUCCAUAUGGAUGUUGAUGUUGAAGGAAAAAGACAAAUCCUUAUCAAUCUCAUCAGCUCUUUUUUUUCUUCACUAAUGAGUUAUUAAGGCUUUGUCAAGUUCCAAUAUAUCACUUAAAUUUAUAGGCAUUGAUCUUGCUAUGUUCUUGUACCUAAUGCUUGCAAAGUGACUGAAAUUCUUAUCUGUCCUAUGACUUCCUUUUAGUGUGUUGUUCCAAAAAUGUUUACUUAUUGGUGUGUACAUGUGCAUGUUUCUAGUUUCUAGUACCCAUAUAUUAAGUUGCAUUGCAAGUAGAAUUUUUUGAUGGAAGGUCAACUACCAUAGUGUCCAGACUGCAGAGUAAAUUGACAUUUAUGUAUACAUAUUACAUGGAUAUGUACAGACCAAUGCAAAGAUUUGCAUGAAUUCAUCUAAAGCAUGGCCGUAAGUUUCGUUGUAUGCUUGGUGAUGGGGUUUCAUCAUCGGGUAUCAUAUACACGUAUAACUGUGAUGAUAAAGGGUGGUUCAGGACGAGUCUCCUGCCAAGGGUUGAGCAGGGUCAGUUCUCACAAAUUUAAGCAGAAAGGUGGUCUUUUAUGUUUUUUUUUUUUUGGGCAUACUGACCAGUAUAUAAUGGUUUCAUGUUUAAAUUUUAGUGGGAGACCUAGAUUUUGACUGUAUUCUCAAGUAUGGUGUAGUCGUGAACUUUGUUACUCAUUGGAGUUGCAAGGAUACUUUGAUGGUAGUAGUUAUUGAAGAUAACAUGUAUGGCUUACAUGUCUCUUAUAAGUGUAAAGUUGAGAUAUUAUCUGGUCAUGACUUAUGGCAGUAUAAUUAACUGUUGUCAUUCAGUGAGAAUAAUCAUGUUUUUUGAAGAUUUAAAAUUAUAACAAUCAUUAGGUAUUUUAAUUUCCGUCUCAGUUCAUUAGCAUUUUCUCUUGUGGUACUGUACUUCUUGGGUUGUUUGGGCUGCCAAGUUUACAUUAGGUGUUUUAGUUUCUUUUUUCAGUUAGUAUUGUCUUCGUUCAUGGUACUGUAGCUUUUUGGGUUGUUUGGGCUGCAAUAGUUUACAAGCCUACACCCAGGUGGAUUGAAUAUGCUAUAAUUUCGUUCUUUUGAAAUUUUUCUCUAGAGAAAGUUUCUUUCUCUCAACUUGUCUUGCACCUGAUAAGUUGAUCUGCAUGCAUUGAAUCUUAGAACUUUAUUCGGAUAAUUAUAAAAUUUUGGUUUAUGAAUAGACUGCACAUCUUUUGGAAGCUUCUGUGUGUUGGUUUUAAUGAAAAUAUCAUUUUCUGAAAGUUCUUUGAUGUUUUGGUAUAGUGUUUAUCAAGGAUUAUCAUUUGCUUAUCAGACCCAUAUCGGUCCUGGUUGGACUGGUACGAUGGUACAGGUAUACCGACAUAUAUGCUGAUACAUACCAGCAUUUCAAAAAUGAAGAACAAGAAGGAGAAGAGGAAGGCACAAUGGAGAAAGAGGAGGAAGGAGGUGGAAAGAAGAGGGAGGAGGAGGAGAAAGAGAAGGAUGAGAAGAUAGGUAUGGCAAUCAACGAGCAUUGGGCAACCAUGUACUGCUGUAUGAGGAGAAAUGAGGGCUUGCAUUCGGGGAGAAGAGGGCUCAUGAAUGCAAGCUCUAAUGGCUAUUUUUAUUUUUUUUAACGGUCGGGCCGGAUUGGCCUGAAAUGGGGCGAUCCGCAUAUUGGUUCAUGUUCGCGUACCUGUUCAUGGUGGGGACAGCCCACAAUCCAAUUCAUGCCCAUGUAUUGGUUCAUGGUGGGGGCAGUAAGUACCACCUGUUUUGUACCAGUCCGAGCAAAACAUCAAUCAAUGGUGCAAUUGUUAGAUAGAUAGGAAGAUUAUAUCAAUCUGGCAGCAACGAGAAGCGGUCAAAUGACAAUUCCAGGAAAUAAUGGUCUGCUCACCAGUCCUAUGAAUAAUUGAGGGCUUUCUGAGGCACUAUCUGGUCCUGAAUCUUUUGCCAAAAAGGAUGCUGCCCCAUGAAGAGUUGUCCUGGGCUCCCUCACUUGAAACACCACAAUGGUCACUGAGACCUCUUAGAGAAGGAUUGUUAUCAGUAUCGGAGCUCCUUACAUUAUUCACUCUGCUCCUGCUCAAAGAGUUGCUAUCUGUUACAGUGCAAAGUAAAGAGACCAAGGAGAAAAAAACUCUGCCGAUGGCCACUAUCACUCUCUGAUGUUGAGGACUCUGCAAUGAACAUUACUGGUCAGGUGGCAUGGAAUAUGGAGAUGUCGAGAGGAAAGUGAGAAAGAUUUAAAGGUGUUUGAAGAAGUGGGGAUUUGUGUGCCUGUGGAUUAAAGACACAAGCAUUGUUGUUCAAAAAGAUUAGUGGAAUGCAGCAACUAGUCCGUGUAUGGAUGUUUGGCCCUUCUGAUAGAUGGACCUUUCUUCCAGUGCUGAUCACAUCAAGAUACUGUACUGAAAAGGACUACAGGAUUAGGCAGGAGCAUAAAGAAUAACCAACCUUUGUUGUCCUGAGAUUAGAGGUUAGAUAUGAACUCAAGAAACAACAAUUAUCAUUACAGAGAUACGCUGGGAAUUGCUGCUGCGUUAAUCAUGCAGUUGGUUCUUUCCAUAGUGACUUCCUUGCAGAUAUGAACUUCUUUGGCUGGUGGGCUGAUGAACUGAGUUGGUUUCCAGGAGAGCAAUGGUCUUAGCACCAUGACAUAUUUUUCCACCAAACUUUUCUCAGCUGGAAUAAUUCCUUCUGGGUUUAGUUCAAUGUGAAAUAUGGCUUCCUAAUUAAGUUAUGCUGGCUUUGCAGAUUUUGCACUCUAUAUGAUCAUAUACUUGUUGGAAGUUUGAAGAACAAGCUAGGAUUGGAUACUUCUAAUACAGAAUUUUGCUACA